GAUGAACGCUGGCGGCGUGCCUAAUACAUGCAAGUCGAGCGAACAGACGAGGAGCUUGCUCCUCUGACGUUAGCGGCGGACGGGUGAGUAACACGUGGAUAACCUACCUAUAAGACUGGGAUAACUUCGGGAAACCGGAGCUAAUACCGGAUGAUAUAUUGAACCGCAUGGUUCAAUAGUGAAAGACGGUUUUGCUGUCACUUAUAGAUGGAUCCGCGCCGCAUUAGCUAGUUGGUAAGGUAACGGCUUACCAAGGCAACGAUGCGUAGCCGACCUGAGAGGGUGAUCGGCCACACUGGAACUGAGACACGGUCCCGACUCCUACGGGGGGCAGCAGUAGGGAAUCUUCCGCAAUGGGCGAAAGCCUGACGGAGCAACGCCGCGUGAGUGAUGAAGGUCUUCUGAUCGUAAAACUCUGUUAUUAGGGAAGAACAAAUGUGUAAGUAACUAUGCACGUCUUGACGGUACCUAAUCAGAAAGCCACGGCUAACUACGUG
rnacentral:rRNA from 1 species